CCAAUAGCGUAUAUUAAAGUUGUUGCAGUUAAAAAGCUCGUAGUUGAACUUCGGGGUUUACUUAUUGGUCAGGCUUAAUUGUCUGCACUGGUGAGAUGAAUCUCUACCUUCUGAGGAACUUUCAUGCCAUUUAUUUGGUGUGAUUGGAAAUCAGGACUGUUACUUUGAAAAAAUUAGAGUGUUUAAAGCAGGCUAACGUCUGAAUACAUUAGCAUGGAAUAAUGAAAUAGGACGGACUGAUUCUAUUUCGUUGGUUUCUAGGAUCACCGUAAUGAUUAAUAGGGAUAGUUGGGGGCAUUAUUAUUCAAUUGUCAGAGGUGAAAUUCUUGGAUUUAUUGAAGACUAAUUACUGCGAAAGCAUUUUUCAAGGAUGUUUUCAUUAAUCAAGAACGAAAGUUAGGGGAUCGAAGACGAUCAGAUACCGUCGUAGUCUUAACCAUAAACUAUGCCGACUAGGGAUCGGACGAAGUUAAUUUUAUAAUGACGCGUUCGGCACCUUACG
rnacentral:misc_RNA from 1 species